CCAAGGAAGUCCCUGCCCCAGUCUAUCAAACACCAUAUCCUAAGUUCUCACUUCCUAUUCUGCUCUAUCUCCCAAACUUCAUCCUAAGAUCUCAGGAACAAAGACUCCAUAGAGAAGCCACUUUCCUUUGUUCAUGCUAUAUAAUAAGUGCCUACGAUUCUAAUGGAGCAAUGUAACUUUGGCAGUUCUAGAGCUUCAAUCAUACUCAACAUUAAAACAAGAUAAUGUUUUAAGCCUGCCAGAAUAUUAUUUUUGUGACCUUAUAUUUGGCAAGAAGAGGUUAAAUUAAUAUCUGGGGAACGGUCAUUGUAAACAUCAACUGAUACUGAGAACUUUGAACUCGCUAGUUUCUUUACAACAUAACUUGGUCUCAGAAAACGGUACCAAUGAAUGUUUUCUGGUAAACUCCAUGUACAUCAAAGCAAGUGAACUUGAUUCUAGAAGUCAUUUAGAUUAGUUUCGAGUUUAUAAUGGACUCUUAAGGAGAUCAUCCAUCUGAUUUCAGUUACUCUUUUCCCG
ensembl:lncRNA